GUGUCAGCCGCCGCGGUAAUACGGAGGGGGCAAGCGUUAUUCGGAAUUACUGGGCGUAAAGGGUGUGUAGGCGUCCCGGUAAGUCUCUGGUGAAAGCCUUCCGCUCAACGGAAGAAUUGCCAGAGAUACUGUCGGGAUUGAGUCCGGGAGAGGGGAGCGGAAUUCCUGGUGUAGCGGUGAAAUGCGUAGAUAUCAGGAAGAACGCCAGAGGCGAAGGCGGCUCCCUAGCCCGGUACUGACGCUGAGGCACGAAAGCGUGGGGAGCGAACGGGAUUAGAUACCCCGGUAGUCCACGCCCUAAACGAUGGAUGCUAGGUGUUGGAUCCGAGAGGAUUCAGCGCCGAAGCUAACGCGUUAAGCAUCCCGCCUGGGGACUACGGCCGCAAGGCUGAAACUUAAAGGAAUUGACGGGG
rnacentral:rRNA from 1 species